AAAGCGUUCAGAUCACUUGUUGAAAAAGAAACAAAGACAAAGAUAAAAACGCUCCGUACAGACAGGGGAGGUGAGUUUACCUCCCACGAGUUUCAAGCGUACUGUGAUAAGAAUGGGAUUAGUAGACACUUAACGGCUCCCUACUCGCCUCAGCAAAACGGAGUCGUGGAGCGACGUAACCGCACAUUGUUGGAGAUGACAAGAAGCUUACUAAAACACAUGAACAUGCCAAGCUUGAGGUAAGCUUGAGGAGCAAGUAACCUAUUUCCUAUUUGGUUUAUGAUCCACUUGAGAUAAGGAUCAUAAUAUGAUUUAUGUUUAUCUAUUAGGAAUAGGAAAUAUGAGUUAUAUAUAUAGCAAUGUCGAAUGAGACAGAUAGCUACGAUAAUUGUGAUUGAGCUUGUGAGUUGUGAUAUUAAGCUUUGAGGUGAUUGAAUAAAGAAAAGGGACUUCCCGUUGUGAUUUACUGUGUUGCUAGCUUGAUCUUCUGUUUCUAUAAAUAAUUCUUCUCAUAUCAUAUUAAACAAAGCAAACAAUUUAUAAAAACCUAUUAAAAAUUACAAUGUAUCAAAAAAAAUUAUAAAAGAUUAUGACCAAAAAGAUAAAUUAAAAUUAAUUUAUUUCAAUAAUAGAUAACACUUAAUUACUUAUUUUAUGUCAAUUUGUUACAUUUGAGACUAAAUCCGUGUUAAUACACAUACCUAGAUCUAGAUCCGAACCGAACCUAAAUUUUUUGGUCGGUUCUGGUUUAGGUAAAAUGGCCAAAGACCACAUGCCACGUAAAGACAUUAAAGAAACACCGAAGUAAAAGCUAGGCUACAUCAAAAAUGGUCUUGUACUCUUGUGACGAAGUGAGUAACUCAAAGGCCCAAGGAUGGAUGAAUGAUCUCAAAACCAUCAAACAAGAAAGAUAAAGAUAUUUAGGCAGUCUUGGGUAUUUUGACAGUGAUUCUAAUAUGUUUAAAGGGUAAUAUGGGUAUUUGACUAAUUCAGACUCUUGCCCAAGUAAGUUUACCAAGAAUGGUCAUCAAGAAUGCUUAGAAGUGUUGACGACCGUAAAACCCAUCGAAGCUUAGCAGAGGAAUCUCCCUUUCUCUCUACUGUCGAAUUGUUUCUUGUAGCCAUAAGUUUAGUUAGCUAACUCGUGUGAGAGAAGAGCGCAAUGAGCUGCUUUAGUUGGUGCGGGAGUAACUCCAGACCAAUGCAACCGCACAACCCAGCAGGUAGAUCUGGUUCUUGAUCUCAUCAUUGCUUGUCACUAUCAAAGAGAUGAUCAGUCAGUAGUUCAGACGCAGAGUAUUGCUGUACCAGCCAUUCCAGUGGAUGAACUGAGAGAUAUAACCGAUAACUUUGGUUCAAAGGCUUUGAUCGGUGAGGGUUCAUAUGGAAGAGUGUUUUACGGUGUUCUUAAAAGCGGCCAGGCGGCUGCCAUCAAGAAAAUUGACCCUAGUAAGAAGCUAGAUCAAGAACUUAUGUCCCAGAUGUCAACGGUUUCGAGAUUGCGACACGACAAUGUCAUUCCACUUGUGUGUUAUUGUGUUUGAUGGCCCUCUUCGUGUUCUUGCUUAUGAGUAUGCUCCUAAUGGAUCUCUUCAUGAUAUUCUUCACGGCCGAAAAGGUGUGGCAGGAGCACUGACUAGGAGCCGAAAAGGUGUGGCAGGUCCCAGGUAUAUGCUACAAAGCACCCUAACGUGGCAACAGAGAGUCAACAUGGUAUAAAAUAUUUGGAGUAUUGACCAGAAAGAGCGAGGUGUACAGUUUUGGCGUUGUUCUGCUGGAGCUCCUUACAGGUCGUAAACCAGUUGAUCAUACCUUACCGCAUGGACAACAAAGUCUAGUGAGAUGGGCAAUUCCUAAACUAAGCAAAGACAAAGUGAAGGAAUGCGUUGAUGCAAGACUACUCGGAGAGUACCCUCACAAAGCUGUAACCAAGCUAGCUGUGUUGGCUGCAAUAUGCGUGAAAGAUGAGGCAAAGUUAAGACCAGACAUGAGCAAUGUGGUGAAGGCCCUUCAGACUGUUCAAGUCUACACUUUUCUAUCAGCGUUUUAACUUUAUAAUGUUCUUACUUAUAUUUUGUGUUUUAUGCUUAUUAUCAUCUUUUAUCCCACUAAUUCUCUUCCAUACAUGAUUUAAACGAUGUAUGCGUCUAUCAUUCUAUAUCUCUCAUAUUUUUUUAUGCUUUUCACGUUUGUAAUAGUUUUACUCUUUUCCUAUUAUUCUCUGUUUUUUCCAUUGUAAAAAUAUCAUUUUGCUUAUGGUUAGUGUGUUAUUUUGGUGUUUUGCAAAUCAAAUCAAAGCAUUU